rnacentral:misc_RNA from 1 species
UGUGGGAGCGAGCCUGCUCGCGAUAGCAUUCUGACAGGCAACUCAUCUAUGACUGUCAGGCCGCUAUCGCGAGCAGGCUCGCUCCCACA